AAUAAUAAAUGGGAAACAUUUAAAUUUAAAAAAAAAAUAAAAAAAUUCGACCACAUGUGAUAAAAAAUUGGACCACAUUUGUAUAUACACAUUUGGAAUAGAUCUGUUCACGCACACUCCACACUUGACCACAUUUGUAUUUUUUAUUUCUCUCUCUUUCCUCUCUCCCUCUCCUCUCUCUACCCACACCACCAGCCCACCGCCCCACCAGCCCAGACCCUUAACCCACCGCCUUCUGACCACCGCCAAUCCACCGUCGGCAGCGCAAGUGGAAAAAAAAAAUUAAAGUUCUAAUUUUCCUUGCAAGUGGAUGAGUGAAGAAAUCUUCAUAUCCCUGUUGAAGAUGCCUUCUAUGAUUGAAGAUGGGGAGUUUUAUUGGCUAUUUAUUGAUACUCCGCAUCUUCGUGGAGAAUCAAUUUCAUUAGUUGACUUUAACUAGUUGGGGACUGAGAAGUAGUUGAUCCAAGUUGAUGCGGGCGAUAACAACUGCAUUUUUGUCAGCGGUCAGUGAUAUAGUGUCUCAGAAGAUUACUGGCAUUAAGAGACUUCAAAUUAGCGCCUUCUUCUUUGGAUAAUUUAUAAUAAGUAUUUGGAAAAGAAGUUCCAUAUUCAUCUUGUAGUCACUUAUCACAUCCUUUCUUUUUUCCUGUUAAUAGAUUAUUUUCAUUCUUGAUCAAUGAUGAUGGCGCAGUUGAUCCUAAGGAGUAUGAAGCUAUGAAGCAUCAAGUUGCUCAGCUAACAAGAACACUUAAUUCCUCGGAGGCUAGGAUGUUGGGUAUGCAAGCCCAAAUUAAUAGUUUAUAUGGAUAUGUUUAAAUGGAUAUGUAUAUUAUCUUUAAGGGUUUGAAUUUAGUUUUAGUUCGAAUUAGAAGUACUUUUAAGUUUAUAAUGUUUUGAGUGUUUGAAUGAUGUUUAUGAUGUUUAAGUGUUUGAAUGUAGUUUAUGAUGUUUAAGUGUUUGAAUGUAGUUUUAAUUUUAAGUACUUUGAGGUUGAAUUUGAUUGUUUAUAAGUGUUUGAAUGGACAAUGUUUAAGUGUUCAAGUGUUUGAACAUUGUUUA